UAUUGUUCCAUUUCGCGACAUCACCUCUCAGAUGAAGCGCAGUUUUCAAGCAGACAAGUCAAUCGUUUCUUCUGCUAGUCACAACAGUUUCAAUGACUAGUUGGUCCGUGCCCUGGGUCAUGUGACCACUGACCGUUGCUGAAAGGAGUGUUCUUGUCUCCUGGGGGUUUUUCGUUACAUGGAUUCAUCCAUCCACAAUGAACAAUAAAGUCUCUCUAUAGAAGAUAAAAAACUCUCUGUAUUCCUUACCCAGCUUACAUUAAUACCAUAAUCAUAUAUGUUUUGCUUGUCUUCAUUUGAUAAUGUAAAAAGGAAUGCUUGCUACAU